rnacentral:misc_RNA from 1 species
AGCGCUUCUAACUAGCAUGGGUGCACCUUUUCAGUUAGCCAGAUGCAAUUUAGGUCGAUUUAUAUCAAGAGGAUCUGUUGUUGCUGCCUGGUUAAGAGAAUCUGGCACACUAAAAGUGCUUGUACUUCAUGAUGAUAGAACGCAUCCUGAAAAUGUGAGGGUUGAUCAGGUCUCUAAUUUACAGAUGCUUCCCUUGUAGCUAUUUGUAUCAUCGUGCACAUUUUAGUUGCCCCCCUCCCCCCAGUGCAACAUGUUCAUGUUUAUUCCUUGUAUGAAAUCUUCUUGAGCUAUCCAAAAAUUUUGUGUGUGUGUGUGUGUGUGUGUGU